rnacentral:tRNA from 1 species
UUUAAGGGAGACCUACCCUUUCGAAUACCGAACCACAUUGAAUUAGGUAACGAUAAGGUCAACCUAAGGUCGAUGAGAAUUGGGGUAGAACUAAAUGGCUUUCAAACUAACUAGGUGAGGGACCGUGGGCUAUUAGCUCAGGUGGUUAGAGCGCACCCCUGAUAAGGGUGAGGUCCCUGGUUCGAGUCCAGGAUGGCCCACCUGUAUCAAUUCAAAGUUCUGACUUUGAAUUUUGAUGGGGGUUUAGCUCAGUUGGUAGAGCGCCUGCUUUGCAAGCAGGAUGUCAGCGGUUCGAGUCCGCUAACCUCCACUGGGAGAAGUCUCUCCGAAGUUAGAAGGAUUCAGCAACUGUUCUAGUUUUCCAACUAGAGAGCCUGCUGGAUUUAGUCCAGUCAGAACCUUGAAAACUGCAUAGAAACUUGUCAGGUAGGUAGUCUUAGUUGACUAGCGGUGACGCUAUCAACGGAAGAUGAAUAUCACAGACACCAAUGUAAUUGAACUCAAGU